UCCGAGAAUGCGGCGUAAUCCGAUUGUUUCCGCGUUACCACCCUGUGAUUUCGCGUAAGUACUUUCAUUUGUACGUAAUACUUGUGUAAAUUCCUGUCGGUUUUCGAUAACUCGUAGAUGAUCGUGUAGUUCCCGUGUAUUUACAACUGUCGGCUUAUUAAUCGAAGAUAUUACCGAGGUUAUAUGAUCGACUGCAUUUUUUUUUGCAUAAUCUGUGGGGCACUCCCGUUAUUUCCGACGAAUCUGCGUAAAUACUAGGGUUUUCAGGAAAUGCAGCGUUUCUGUGUAAUCCUUGUAGAUUUGGCGUCGGUAAUAGGGCGUAUUUAGGUAGGCUCCGAGAAUGCGGCGUAAUCCGAUUGUUUCCGCAUUACCACCCUGUGAUUUCGCGUAAGUACUUUCAUUUGUACGUAAUACUUGUGUAAAUUCCUGUCGGUUUUCGAUAACUCGUAGAUGACCGUGUAGUUCCCGUGUAUUUACAACUGUCGGCUUAUUAAUCGAAGAUAUUACCGAGGUUAUAUGAUCGACUGCAUUUUUUUUUUUGCAUAAUCUGUGGGGCACUCCCGUUAUUUCCGACGAAUCUGCGUAAAUACUAGGGUUUUCAGGAAAUGCAGCGUUUCUGUGUAAUCCUUGUAGAUUUGGCGUCGGUAAUAGGGCGUAUUUAGGUAAGCUCCGAGAAUGCGGCGUAAUCCGAUUGUUUCCGCAUUACCACCCUGUGAUUUCGCGUAAGUACUUUCAUUUGUACGUAAUACUUGUGUAAAUUCCUGUCGGUUUUCGAUAACUCGUAGAUGAUCGUGUAGUUCCCGUGUAUUUACAACUGUCGGCUUAUUAAUCGAAGAUAUUACCGAGGUUAUAUGAUCGACUGCAUUUUUUUUGCAUAAUCUGUGGGGCACUCCCGUUAUUUCCGACGAAUCUGCGUAAAUACUAGGGUUUUCAGGAAAUGCAGCGUUUCUGUGUAAUCCUUGUAGAUUUGGCGUCGGUAAUAGGGCGUAUUUAGGUAGCCUCCGAGAAUGCAGCGUAAUCCGAUUGUUUCCGCAUUACCACCCUGUGAUUUCGCGUAAGUACUUUCAUUUGUACGUAAUACUUGUGUAAAUUCCUGUCGGUUUUCGAUAACUCGUAGAUGACCGUGUAGUUCCCGUGUAUUUACAACUGUCGGCUUAUUAAUCGAAGAUAUUACCGAGGUUAUAUGAUCGACUGCAUUUUUUUUUUGCAUAAUCUGAGGGGCACUCGCGUUAUUUCCGACGAAUCUGCGUAAAUAUUAGGGUUUUCAGGAAAUGCAGCGUUUCUGUGUAAUCCUUGUAGAUUUGGCGUCGGUAAUAGGGCGUAUUUAGGUGGCCUCCGAGAAUGCGGCGUAAUCCAAUUGUUUCCGCAUUACCACCCUGUGAUUUCGCGUAAGUACUUGCCUUUGUACGUAAUACUUGUGUAAAUUCCUGUCGGUUUUCGAUAACUCGUAGAUGACCGUGUAGUUCCCGUGUAUUUACAACUGUCGGCUUAUUAAUCGAAGAUAUUACCGAGGUUAUUUUAUCGACUGCAUUUUUUUUUUUGCAUAAUCCGCGGGGCACUCGUUAUAUCCGACGAAUUUGCGUAACUACUAGCAUUUUCAUAAAGUCGGGCAUUUCUGCGUAACCUACAGAUUUUACAAAAAUCUAAGUACGCAAUCUACAGCGUGGGACAUAACCCCACUGUCUUCGCUUUACCAUCAGGUGAUUAGAAGUAUUUGUCCGUUUUCUUUUUAGGUAAUCCCUCCUUUUUUCAAUAAUUCCUAACGUACCGACGUAGUUCCUAGGUUUAUCAGCAAUACCCUGGUUAUUUUCUUAGAUACUAGCGAGGUUACUUAAACGACAUUUUUGUCCUCCGAGCUUUCUCCGUAAUCUUAUUUUUUUCCGCAUAACCAUCUCGUGAUUUCGCUCAAGUAUAUUGUUUUUCCGUAAUGGAUGUCGAUUUUUCCUAACUCCUAGAUGACCGUGUAAUUUCCAGGAUAUCUGUAACGAUCAGCUUAUUAAUUCUAGAUAUUAACGAGGUUAUUUAGUCGAUAGCAUUUUUGAAUAGUCCCUGAGGCGGUUGCAUUAUUUACGUAGACUAUACGAACUACCAGCAUCUUUAUAAAGCUCAUCGUUUCUGGGUAACCCUUACAGAUUUUGGCUUAUCCGACUGGCGAUUUGAAGUUAUCCGUCGUACCCAUCUUAUUUCCCUAGAUUCUAGAGAGGUUACUUAAACGACAACAUCGUUGCAUAAUCCCAGGGGCAUAUUCGUUAUUUCCUACGAAUCAAGUAACGACCAGCGUCUUCAUAAAGUGCAGCAUUUCUGUAUAUCCUCAUAGAUUUGUCGUCAAUCCUAGAACGUAUUUAGGUGGCCUCCGAGCGUCAGGCGUAACGUCAUAGUGUCCGCAUAAGCGAAUAAAUUUGUUUUUACCUAA